rnacentral:rRNA from 1 species
AGUGAACGCUGGCGGUAGGCCUAACACAUGCAAGUCGAACGGCAGCACAGUAAGAGCUUGCUCUUACGGGUGGCGAGUGGCGGACGGGUGAGGAAUACAUCGGAAUCUACUUUUUCGUGGGGGAUAACGUAGGGAAACUUACGCUAAUACCGCAUACGACCUACGGGUGAAAGCAGGGGAUCUUCGGACCUUGCGCGAUUGAAUGAGCCGAUGUCGGAUUAGCUAGUUGGCGGGGUAAAGGCCCACCAAGGCGACGAUCCGUAGCUGGUCUGAGGGGAUGAUCAGCCACACUGGAACUGAGGCACGGUCCAGACUCCUACGGGAGGCAGCAGUGGGGAAUAUUGGACAAUGGGCGCAAGCCUGAUCCAGCCAUACCGCGUGGGUGAAGAAGGCCUUCGGGUUGUAAAGCCCUUUUGUUGGGAAAGAAAAGCAGCAGGUUAAUACCCCGCUGUUCUGACGGUACCCAAAGAAUAAGCACCGGCCAACUUCGUG